AAAUUGAAGAGUUUGAUCAUGGCUCAGAUUGAACGCUGGCGGCAGGCCUAACACAUGCAAGUCGAGCGGAAACGAGUUAUCAGAACCUUCGGGGGACGAUAACGGCGUCGAGCGGCGGACGGGUGAGUAAUGCCUAGGAAAUUGCCCUGAUGUGGGGGAUAACCAUUGGAAACGAUGGCUAAUACCGCAUGAUGCCUACGGGCCAAAGAGGGGGACCUUCGGGCCUCUCGCGUCAGGAUAUGCCUAGGUGGGAUUAGCUAGUUGGUGAGGUAAGGGCUCACCAAGGCGACGAUCCCUAGCUGGUCUGAGAGGAUGAUCAGCCACACUGGAACUGAGACACGGUCCAGACUCCUACGGGAGGCAGCAGUGGGGAAUAUUGCACAAUGGGCGCAAGCCUGAUGCAGCCAUGCCGCGUGUGUGAAGAAGGCCUUCGGGUUGUAAAGCACUUUCAGUCGUGAGGAAGGUGGUGUAG
rnacentral:rRNA from 1 species